rnacentral:lncRNA from 1 species
GUGUGUUUUUUUUUUUUAUCCCAAAAAAUUGGAUUUUCCAUGCAUAAUCUACAAAAUCUUACAAUUUGGCACAACAUGUAGCGUGAAAAAAAUCUCCAGCCACCAUAAGAUGGAGAGUUGAGUGCUUUUCUCGAGCAGGGUUGGAACUCACAACCUCAGUGUACAUGUUGACUGGCUAUUGAUCACAGUAGUAACUACAUUAUAUGUACUUAAACCACUCGGCCACCGAGCCCCCCUCCUCCCCCCUUGAUAACUUAAAUUAGUAUUGGUGUCGUUUGUUGCUAGCUGUACUGCAUAUCAUUUGUUUUUUUUUUUCUUUUUGUUCAUACACCAAGCUAUUAGUUUCCUCGAUUAGAAAUAUUUUACAUUUCUCAUUUCGAGGCAUGUUGUUGAUUAUAUUGUGCGAUAUCGAUAUUGUUCAUUGUUGAGGGCCGUACAACAACUUAUUGUUGUCAUUUCUUCUGGAGAGAUGUCUUAUUGGCAACCAUAUCAAACCUUCUUAAUAUAUUUACAUUGCCAUUUUUUUCAAAUAUUUCUAGCUUUUUAGUCAACUUUUCUGAUUUUUUCUGUAAUAACUUAUAGAUCUUGAAAAAAUGAGGAUUUGAGUUUGAACUUGAAUGUUUUAACAGUUGACCGGCCCUCCGGGGAUAAAAAUCAUAGUUUUUUAUAUUUUAACGUUUGUUUUAGACUUAUGGUACUUAUUUCAUUUUAUCUUAUUUUUGUAUUCCUAUUUUUGUAUUCCUAUCCCUUCGUAAAUUUUACGGACAUCAUCACGAAUUGGUUGACCGUUAUGGAAUAUCCGUUUCACCGAAGAUAGCGGAUAUGUUCCAAAUGUCGUUUCCUCAAUCCCGUUCCUUUUCAAUCUAAUUAAAAAAUAGAACUUGGAUUAUGUAGUUAUUGCUUAAAUAGCUCACACUUAAGGAUGUUUUGGAAGUUUUGUCAGAUUUUCGGAAUCCUCUGGUUUUAUCCAUAUGAAUGCCAUAAAAAAUUUCCCCAUGAACCCCCAUUUUCCUUUUAAUAAAUCUUUUAUAUGUACAAUUAUAAGUCAUUUGUAAAAGUCUUAUAACAUUUUAUUUAUUUUUUAAUAGUAUUUGAGAACUUUAACUGGUCAAUGAUAAAGCUAUGAAAAAUCAAGAGAGAACAUUUUCCCGCCAAAAUUCCAAUGGCUAAUAUCUCAAAAACAAGCACAUUAUCCCCUAUAUUUUUUUUGCUUUUUUGAUUCCUCAAUUUAUUCUCUAUCAAUGCAUACUAGUUUUAUGAAAAGUUAUUUAUUUUGAAACUGAGCAGCGAACAUCCUUAAGCUGUUACGUCUACUAAAAAUCUGUACAAAUAAAGGUUAUGUUUUGCUCGAAAAUAUUGCUUCGUCUGGCGUGCAGCUCUCUAUUUGAUAAUCAGAUGCUGAUAUCAAUCGUUUGCAGUUUAUCCUCUGCAACUUAUCUAGAAGUUUGAACGCAACACAUAUCAAGUGAUUUGACGUUUUAUGAUUAUUACUUUGAUUUAUGUUACAUAAUUAUAGGUUAAGGGACGGUUAAGUGGCCAAUAUUACGAGGAUAUAAUAUAACGCACCAUAUUUACUACCAAUAUACUUGUCAAUGAUAUAUUAUUUUAUCUGAGUCGUAUAUUAUUAUCUUAAUUAGUAUCAUUUCAUAAAAAAACAAAAAAAUAUUUAGACUUAUAUGAAUAUAAUUAUAUAUCGACUUUGAUAACUAUUAACAUGUCGAAAUGUCCUACUGUAAUGUUUAUUUGUGUAUUUUUUUGUCCUGAAUGUUUUUGCAUUUAUUUGUACGGUAGUCCUGUCAUAUUAUGUUGUUAUUUUAAUGUUAUAUUAAGAUUGCCAUAAAAGCGAGGAUUGGCUAGCCGCAAAACCAGAUUGAGCCCACCAUUUUUUCUUAAAAUGUACUGUACCAAGUCAGGAAAAUGGCCAUUGAUAUAUUAUAGUUCGUUUUACAUUUAAGUGUUGUGUUGCUGUUGUGUCGUAGUCCUCCUCUUAUAUUUGAUGUGUUUCCCUCAGUUAUAGUUUGUAACCCAGAUUUGUUUUUUUUCUAUCGAUUUAUGAAUUACAAACAGCGGUAUACUACUGUUGCCUUUAUUCUAACUCAUCAGAUAGAUACGAAUAGAAAUACAUAUUACAAAAACCGAGUGGAAGUGGACGUGAAUUUUACAACCAAAAACAAAAAGACACAAAAGGUACAGAUCUGAGAGUACUUGCAGUUACUGACAGCUUGUUCAAAGCAAAUAAAUAUUAAUGAAAAAAAAAUCAUGCGACUAAAAUAUCAAUCAGUAAAUAUCCAACAUCCAAUGGAUUUUGUAUAAUGACGUCAUUUACAUUCUGAUAAAAAU